AGAGUUUGAUCCUGGCUCAGGAUGAACGCUGGCGGUAUGCUUAAUACAUGCAAGUCGAGCGAGAGUCUUCGGACUCGAGCGGCGAACGGGUGAGUAACACGUAGGAAAUCUGCCGUAAAGACUGGGAUACCAGACCGAAAGGUUUGCUAAUACCGGAUAGGAAAUCGGAAGGCAUCUUCUGAUUUUGAAAGUCGCGUUUGCGACACUUUAUGAUGAUCCUGCGGCGCAUUAGUUAGUUGGUGAGAUAACAGCCCACCAAGACGAGGAUGCGUAGCCGACCUGAGAGGGUGAUCGGCCACAAUGGAACUGAGACACGGUCCAUACUCCUACGGGAGGCAGCAGUAAGGAGUUUUCGGCAAUGGGGGCAACCCUGACCGAGCAAUACCGCGUGUGCGAUGAAGGUCUUCGGAUCGUAAAGCACUGUUGUAAGGGAAGAAAGGUAGUAUCAGGAAAUGGGUAUUACUUGACCGUACCUUACGAGGAAGCCACGGCUAACUACGUGCCAGCAGCCGCGGUAAUACGUAGGUGGCAAGCGUUAUCCGGAAUUAUUGGGCGUAAAGAGUGAGCAGGCGGCCUUUUAAGUCUGAAGUCAAAUGCAGUAGCUUAACUACUGUUCGCUUUGGAAACUGGAAGGCUAGAGUUCGGGAGAGGUAAAUGGAACUUCAUGUGUAGCGGUGAAAUGCGUAGAUAUAUGAAAGAACACCAGUGGCGAAGGCGAUUUACUAGACCGAUACUGACGCUCAGUCACGAAAGCGUGGGUAGCAAAUAGGAUUAGAUACCCUAGUAGUCCACGCCGUAAACGAUGAGUACUAAUUGUAGGGGAUACCCUGCGAUGAAGCUAACGCAUUAAGUACUCCGCCUGGGUAGUACGUUCGCAAGAAUGAAACUUAAAGGAAUUGACGGGGGCCCGCACAAGCAGUGGAGCAUGUGGUUUAAUUCGACGCUACGCGAAGAACCUUACCAGGACUUGACAUGGAAUUGAAAACCUCAGAGAUGAGGCCAUAGUUACAGUUCACACAGGUGGUGCAUGGUUGUCGUCAGCUCGUGUCGUGAGAUGUUGGGUUAAGUCCCGCAACGAGCGCAACCCUUGUCCUUAGUUACC
rnacentral:rRNA from 1 species